UGACGGUACCUAACCAGAAAGCCACGGCUAACUACGUGUCAGCAGCCGCGGUAAUACGUAGGUGGCAAGCGUUGUCCGGAAUUAUUGGGCGUAAAGCGCGCGCAGGCGGUUUCUUAAGUCUGAUGUGAAAGCCCACGGCUCAACCGUGGAGGGUCAUUGGAAACUGGGAGACUUGAGUGCAGAAGAGAAGAGCGGAAUUCCACGUGUAGCGGUGAAAUGCGUAGAGAUGUGGAGGAACACCAGUGGCGAAGGCGGCUCUUUGGUCUGUAACUGACGCUGAGGCGCGAAAGCGUGGGGAGCGAACAGGAUUAGAUACCCUGGUAGUCCACGCCGUACACGAUGAGUGCUAAGUGUUAGAGGGUUUCCGCCCUUUAGUGCUGCAGCUAACGCAUUAAGCACUCCGCCUGGGGAGUACGGCCGCAAGGCUGAAACUCAAAGGAAUUGACGGGGGCCCGCACAAGCGGUGGAGCAUGUGGUUAAUUCGAAGCAACGCGAAGAACCUUACCAGGUCUUGACAUCCUCUUGACUCUCCCUAGAGAUAGGAGAGUUCCCUCGGGGACACAGAGUCGACAGGUGCGUGCAUGGCUGGAUGAUCAUUCGUCGUAGUCAUGGUG
rnacentral:rRNA from 2 species